AGAUCACCUCUUGGCUGUGGG
rnacentral:miRNA from 1 species